rnacentral:rRNA from 1 species
CCAUGAAGUCGGAAUCGCUAGUAAUCGUGGAUCAGAAUGCCACGGUGAAUACGUUCCCGGGCCUUGUACACACCGCCCGUCACACCAUGGGAGUGGGUUGCAAAAGAAGUAGGUAGCUUAACCUUCGGGAGGGCGCUUACCACUUUGUGAUUCAUGACUGGGGUGAAGUCGUAACAAGGUAACCGUAGGGGAACCUGCGGUUGGAUCACCUCCUUAUCUUAAAGAAGC